AGAUGAUGAGCAAUUUAGAUGACGAGUCCGAGAGAUUCUCAUUGAAGACACACUUUUUUUAAUACCAUUCAUGCAAUACUGAUU
rnacentral:snoRNA from 1 species